GUCUGUGUAGUAUAUUAAUUACACUG
rnacentral:tRNA from 1 species